AACGAACGCUGGCGGCAGGCUUAACACAUGCAAGUCGAGCGCCCCGCCAGGGGAGCGGCAGACGGGUGAGUAACGCGUGGGAACGUACCUUUUGGUUCGGAACAACUCCGGGACACUGGAGCUAAUACCGGAUAAGCCCUAACGGGGAAAGAUUUAUCGCCGAAAGAUCGGCCCGCGUCUGAUUAGCUAGUUGGUGAGGUAACGGCUCACCAAGGCGACGAUCAGUAGCUGGUCUGAGAGAAUGAUCAGCCACACUGGGACUGAGACACGGCCCAGACUCCUACGGGAGGCAGCAGUGGGGAAUAUUGGACAAUGGGCGCAAGCCUGAUCCAGCCAUGCCGCGUGAGUGAUGAAGGCCUUAGGGUUGUAAAGCUCUUUUGUCCGGGAAGAUAAUGACUGUACCGGAAGAAUAAGCCCCGGCUAACUUCGUG
rnacentral:rRNA from 1 species